UUUACCUUUUUGUUCGUGUGACUACCCAAUCUCUACUCCCUUUCCCCUGCAGCGUUUUCCCCUUUCCCCUUCUCCAACAAAAAUCUAACCGUCUCCCUCUCAUUCCUCCGACCGCCAUCACCACCAUCAUCCCCGUUGCACGCCAUCACCACCAUCUAAUCUGUAAUAUCUCAUAACUCCCACCCAAAAAUCCCUCCCCUUUCGCUUUAACAACCCUAACCCUCUUCCUCUCGAUCUCCGUCCGCCAUCACCACCAUUAGCCCGGUUGCACGCCAUCUAAUCUGUCCUGAAAACCCGAUGUCACCAUUUUGGUUAUUUGGUUAUAUUGAUUUAUUUGUUAUUGUAAUUUCGCUUCAGAUCUGUUAAUAAUGCCAUCAUCAUCGCAAUGCCACAACCAUUCUUCAUUCUUUAGGUCAAUAUGGAGGUAUUCUAACACUUUUGUUCAGAUUGAGUUGAGGGUACUGGAAGGCGGUUGAUGUUUGGGAAAGAGUCGCAGAAGCUUGAUGUCGAGAUAGAAGAAAGGGAACAAGCAGACUCGAAACUUUAAGGAAUCAACAUUGAAAUGUGUUUAUCAUCUACCAGCAGGAGUUUUGCUUUGGCUGUAACUCCUAACGAGUCAUGGUUUACUAAUACUACCAACUUUUGGAUUGUUCGUGGCAGCAAAAAAUGGCCUGACUAGGAAGCCAAGUGGGACUGGAGGUGGUUAAAUAUAGAGAGGUACUUCAGGAACAUUUCUCAUUUUGUUGGUGGUUGGCUUUCUUGCUACUAUGUAAUCUCCACACUGUGUUUGUACAGAUUUUGAAGAUGUACGACCAACAUAUAUCAACAUUUCAAAAGGAUUGGAGGCCAAAAAGUCAUGUUUAAGGUGAAAGGAGUUUUGUUUGAAGCGGUUUUUUCUUUUCAAUCAUUAGGAAAAAGCAGCUUUCAUAUCAUAUAUUGUUUCGAGAUAUUAAUUAAUGCUACUUUAUAGAUAAGAAUUGUUGCAAUUUUAUAGUGUUUUUUUAUGAGUUACAAUUUUUUGAUGUCAAUGGUUUAAUUAAUGAGUUAGAUUUA